UACGAAGGGGGCAAGCGUUACUCGGAAUUACUGGGCGUAAAGCGUGCGUAGGUGGUUUGUUAAGUCUGUUGUGAAAGCCCCGGGCUCAACCUGGGAAUGGCAAUGGAUACUGGCAAGCUAGAGUGCGGUAGAGGAUAGUGGAAUUCCCGGUGUAGCGGUGAAAUGCGUAGAGAUCGGGAGGAACACCAGUGGCGAAGGCGGCUACCUGGACCAGCACUGACGCUGAGGCACGAAAGCGUGGGGAGCAAACAGG
rnacentral:rRNA from 1 species